rnacentral:rRNA from 1 species
GAUCAUGGCUCAGAUUGAACGCUGGCGGCAUGCCUUACACAUGAAAGUCGAACGGCAGCGGGCCUUCGGGUGCCGGCGAGUGGCGAACGGGUGAGUAAUGCAUCGGAACGUGCCAUUGAGUGGGGGAUAACGUAGCGAAAGUUACGCUAAUACCGCAUAUUCUGUGAGCAGGAAAGCAGGGGACCGCAAGGCCUUGCGCUCUUUGAGCGGCCGAUGUCAGAUUAGCUAGUUGGUGAGGUAAAGGCUUACCAAGGCGACGAUCUGUAGCGGGUCUGAGAGGAUGAUCCGCCACACUGGAACUGAGACACGGUCCAGACUCCUACGGGAGGCAGCAGUGGGGAAUUUUGGACAAUGGGCGCAAGCCUGAUCCAGCCAUGCCGCGUGAGUGAAGAAGGCCUUCGGGUUGUAAAGCUCUUUCGGCCGGGAAGAAAUCGCAUGGGUUAAUACCCUGUGUGGAUGACGGUACCGGAAUAAGAAGCACCGGCUAACUACGUG